rnacentral:rRNA from 1 species
GGCCGCAGUAUUUUAACUGUGCAAAGGUAGCAUAAUCAUUAGUCUUUUAAUUGAAGGCUGGUAUGAACGGUUGGACGAAGUAUAGACUGUUUCAUAUAAAUUUAUAUUAGAAUUUUAUAUUUUAGUAAAAAAGCUAAAAUUUUAUUAAAAGACGAGAAGACCCUAUAAAUCUUUAUAUAGAAUUGUAUUUAAGUUUUUUGGAUAUUUUUGAUUUUCUUUUUAUUUUGUAUUUUGUUGGGGUGAUGUUAAAAUUUAAUGAACUUUUAAUUUAUUAAAACAUUAAUUUAUGAUAUGUUGAUCCAUUAAUAAUGAUUAUAAGAUUAAGUUACUUUAGGG